rnacentral:rRNA from 1 species
CAUGCAAGUCGAGCGGCAGCGCGGGGCAACCUGGCGGCGAGCGGCGGACGGGUGAGUAACGCUUGAGAAUCUGCCUAUUAGUGGGGGACAACCCGGGGAAACUCGGGCUAAUACCGCAUACGCACUACGGUGGAAAGCCGGGGACCGCAAGGCCUGGCGCUAAUAGAUGAGCUCAAGUCGGAUUAGCUAGUUGGUAGGGUAACGGCCUACCAAGGCGACAAUCCGUAGCUGGUCUGAGAGGACGACCAGCCACACCGGAACUGAGACACGGUCCGGACUCCUACGGGAGGCAGCAGUGGGGAAUAUUGGACAAUGGGCGAAAGCCUGAUCCAGCGACGCCGCGUGGGUGAAGAAGGCCUGCGGGUUGUAAAGCCCUUUCGGUGAGGAAGAAAUGCUUCGAGCUAAUACCUCGGGGCUUUGACGUAACCCACAGAAGAAGCACCGGCUAACUCUGUGCCAGCAGCCGCGGUAAUACAGAGGGUGCGAGCGUUAAUCGGAAUUACUGGGCGUAAAGCGCGCGUAGGCGGCUUUGCAAGCCGGAUGUGAAAUCCCCGGGCUUAACCUGGGAACUGCAUUCGGGACUGCAUUGCUAGAGUAUGGGAGAGGGAAGUGGAAUUUCAGGUGUAGCGGUGAAAUGCGUAGAUAUCUGAAGGAACAUCAGUGGCGAAAGCGACUUCCUGGACCAAUACUGACGCUCAUGUGCGAAAGCGUGGGGAGCAAACAGGAUUAGAUACCCUGGUAGUCCACGCCAUAAACGAUGAGAACUGGAUGUCGGGAGGGUCUGCCUCUCGGUGUCGUAGCUAACGCGUUAAGUUCUCCGC